UGGUCCCACCCUCGUCACCGCCCCCGCGGCUGCGCGUGCACGAGCGCAAGGUGUCUAACCGGAAAACCACCAUG
rnacentral:ribozyme from 1 species